rnacentral:rRNA from 1 species
UACGUAGGGGGCAAGCGUUGUCCGGAUUUACUGGGCGUAAAGAGCGCGUAGGCGGAAGCUUAAGUGUGGCCUGAAAGCCCCCGGCUCAACCGGGGAAGGUGGCUGCAAACUGGGCUUCUUGAGGGGGAUAGAGGAAAGUGGAAUUCCGGGUGUAGAGGUGAAAUUCGUAGAUAUCGGGAGGAACACCGGUGGCGAAGGCGGCGACCUGGGUCGAUACUGACGCUGAGGUGCGAAAGCGUGGGGAGCAAACAGG